UACGUAGGGUGCAAGCGUUAAUCGGAAUUACUGGGCGUAAAGCGUGCGCAGGCGGCUUUGCAAGACAGAUGUGAAAUCCCCGGGCUUAACCUGGGAACUGCAUUUGUGACUGCAUGGCUGGAGUGCGGCAGAGGGGGAUGGAAUUCCGCGUGUAGCAGUGAAAUGCGUAGAUAUGCGGAGGAACACCGAUGGCGAAGGCAAUCCCCUGGGCCUGCACUGACGCUCCUGCACGAAAGCGUGGGGAGCAAACAGG
rnacentral:rRNA from 1 species